rnacentral:rRNA from 1 species
CCUACGGGUGGCAGCAGUGGGGGAUAUUGCACAAUGGAGGAAACUCUGAUGCAGCGACGCCGCGUGAGGGAAGACGGUCUUCGGAUUGUAAAACUCUGUCUUUGGGGGAGAAAAUGACGGUACCCAAAGAGGAAGCUCCGGCUAACUACGUCCCAGCAGCCGCGGUAAUAGGUAGGGAGCGGGCGUUGUCCGGAAUUACGGGGUGUAAAGGGAGCGGAGGCGGGCGAGAAAGUUGAAUGUUAAAUCUACCGGCUAAACUGGUAGCUGCGUUCAAAACUUCGUGUCUUGAGGGAAGUAGAGGCAGGCGGAAUUCCUGGUGUAGCGGUGAAAUGCGUAGAUAUUAGGAGGAACACCAGUGGCGAAGGCGGCCUGCUGGACUUUAACUGACGCUGAGGCUCGAAAGCGUGGGGAGCAAAAAGGAUUAGAUACCCCUGUAGUC